rnacentral:lncRNA from 1 species
UUGACACAACCGAUCUCCUCCUCUGGCACCAAGAAAGUUGAUGUCUUGACCUUGAAAAAUUAUGCAAACACCUUAUGCCACUAGCAUCAACAACUAAAAAGAUUUCUUAGAUAUGGAGAAUUAGUAUUCAUCGAUUGAACUGUUUAUAUGGAAGAUACCUUGAAAUUGAUUUCUAUAUUAUAAAAUUCUACAUUCAGCUUUCAUAUUCCUAACCAUUAUAUAUGAUCUAUUUUCUUAUAGAGAUUCCUUCUCAUAUUAUAUUACACCAU